UCGGGAAUAUUGGACAAUGGGCGAAAGCCUGAUCCAGCCAUGCCGCGUGUGUGAAGAAGGUCUUCGGAUUGUAAAGCACUUUAAGUUGGGAGGAAGGGCAGUAAGUUAAUACCUUGCUGUUUUGACGUUACCGACAGAAUAAGCACCGGCUAACUCUGUGCCAGCAGCCGCGGUAAUACAGAGGGUGCAAGCGUUAAUCGGAAUUACUGGGCGUAAAGCGCGCGUAGGUGGUUUGUUAAGUUGGAUGUGAAAUCCCCGGGCUCAACCUGGGAACUGCAUUCAAAACUGACAAGCUAGAGUAUGGUAGAGGGUGGUGGAAUUUCCUGUGUAGCGGUGAAAUGCGUAGAUAUAGGAAGGAACACCAGUGGCGAAGGCGACCACCUGGACUGAUACUGACACUGAGGUGCGAAAGCGUGGGGAGCAAACAGGAUUAGAUACCCAAGUAGUCCCUGAGCGGGCUGGCAAGGCGCAU
rnacentral:rRNA from 1 species